GUUGGGUGUGGUGGUGGGCGCCUGUAAUCCCAGCUACUUGGGAGGCUGAGGCAGGAGAAUUGCUUGAACCCAGGAGGUGGAGGUUGCAGUGAGCCAAGAUCACACCACUGCACUCCAGCCUGGGUGACAGAGCAAGACUCUGUCUCAA
rnacentral:SRP_RNA from 1 species